CUGCUGCCUCCCGUAGGAGUUUGGGCCGUGUCUCAGUCCCAAUGUGGCCGGUCCACCCUCUCAGGCCGGCUACUGAUCGCUGCCUGGUGGGCCGUUACCCCGCCAACUAGCUAAUCAGACGCGGAUCCAUCGUAUACACCGGAGUUUUUCACACUGCCCCAUGCGGAGCCGUGCGCUUAUGCGGUAUUAGCACCCUAUUUCUAAGUGUUAUCCCCCGGUAUACGGCAGGUUAUCCACGCGUUACUCACCCGUCCGCCA
rnacentral:rRNA from 1 species